UUGGAUGACUAGGUUGGGUAGUGCGUGAUAUUCUAAGAGAGAGAGGGAGAGAGAGAGAGAGAGAGAGAGAGAGAGAGAGAGAGAGAGAGAGAGAGACCCUUUAACACGAGAUAACAAAGAUCAAUGAUUAGGGGACAGUGUAGCUUGUCCAAGAAGAUGAAGCUGAGCUUUGAGUUCAGUCUGCUGGGAUCUAGAGCCCCUUUCUUUUCACUACACUAAGGCAGACCAAAUGAGUAGAGGGAAGAAAAAGAAGAUUUGAACUGAUCUAAAAUACAGGUCUGUCGCCUGCCAAAUGAAGGGUCUGGGCAGAGAAAACGACAUCGGCUCGUGGGGCUGGACAGCUUCGGAGAGAACUUGUUCUACUGAAGGAGAUCUGCCUCAGAUUCGUGUCUCACCGAGUAAUUCAACCUCCCUGGAUGAAGUUCAAGCCAGGAUGGCUGAGAGUUCAAGACCAGCCUAGGGGUUUGCUGUCCUAAGUAACAAUAAACUCCAACCCCCAAAUGCUGCCUGAUAGAUCUGUAGCUUCAGCCUGGAUGCUACCCUCACAGAGCUCAGUAACUGAAAGAGCGCGCAGCUGGGGGCGUGCCCAUCUCAGUCUGAUUCCAGAGUCUCCUUUCCUCUGUUAACCCGACCUGUGAGCUGUGGCUCCGUUCUCUGUCUUCCCUUUGCCCUUUAGUGGGCCUCUCAGUUCUAUCCUCUACAUCCAGGGCCUUCUCAUCUUUCACCUUGAACAGGUACCCAUGACCCCUUAAGAGGAUUUCUUGAACCUCUUAAGAGGAUUUCUGUCCAGGUGACUCUCCGUUCUAAUCCAUUCCUAAUCUUCUCACAGAGAAAGUGGGUUGUGCCGACUUCCUGCUUAGCCCUUCUGCUAACCCCCCCUCACAAACUGAAAUCACCCUCCUUGUGUGGGCGGGGUGAUGGGCGUUUCCUGUGUGGCUCCUUGUUCUCCUGCACCGACUUUUCCUGUGCUGGUUAAAUGAGUGCAGUGUCCUUUCACAUCUUAAUGAAAGCUCUCAGCUCUUUGCCAGUGUAGUGGUUUGAAUGAGAAUAGCCCCUACAGGCUCUUAUGAUUGAAUAGCUAGGUCCCUAGUUGGUGGAACUC
rnacentral:lncRNA from 1 species